rnacentral:rRNA from 1 species
AUUCCAGCUCCAAUAGCGUAUAUUAAGGUUGUUGCGGUUAAAAAGCUCGUAGUCGGAUUUUGGCAUCACGCCGAACUGUCUGCCGAUGGGUAUGCACUGGCCGGCGCGUCCUUCCACCCGGAGACCGCGCCUACUCUUAACUGAGCGGGCGCGGGAGACGGGUCUUUUACUUUGAAAAAAUCAGAGUGUUUCAAGCAGGCAGUCGCUCUUGCAUGGAUUAGCAUGGGAUAAUGAAAUAGGACUCUGGUGCUAUUUUGUUGGUUUCGAACACCGGAGUAAUGAUUAACAGGGACAGUCAGGGGCACUCGUAUUCCGCCGAGAGAGGUGAAAUUCUCAGACCAGCGGAAGACGAACCACUGCGAAAGCAUUUGCCAGGGAUGUUUUCAUCA